rnacentral:rRNA from 1 species
UACGAAGGGGGCGAGCGUUGUCCGGAAUCAUUGGGCGUAAAGCGCGCGUAGGUGGCUUCGUAAGUCCGUUGUGAAAGUCAAAGGCUCAACCUUUGAAAGCCGAUGGAUACUGUGAAGCUAGAGUACGGAAGAGGCGAGUGGAAUUCCUGGUGUAGCGGUGGAAUGCGCAGAUAUCAGGAGGAACACCGGUGGCGAAGGCGGGUCUCUGGGCAGUAACUGACGCUGAGGAGCGAAAGCGUGGGGAGCGAACAGG